rnacentral:tRNA from 1 species
AGUACUGUGGCGGAGUUGGUUAACGCACCCUGUGCGAACCUAGAGAGACGUGGGUUCAAACCCCACCAGAACUA